GACAGACCCACACACAUACACAACACACACACACACACACACACACACACACACACACACACACGAUGACGACGACAAACAAAAAAAGAUGGUUCUUAUUUAAACUGGCUAAUGCCAAACAGCGAAUUUGUUGUUCUUGUGUCAAAAUGAAAACAGAGCUUGAGUACUACUGUGCCAUCCGAAGCCUCCUAACCUUCCCGGUGCCAAUCGAGACAGCUCGGUGCUGUCCUCCCAGGGACCUGCGUAGAUAAUACAGGUUCACUUCCCAGCAAAGGGUCUGGCUGCUGGGAACACGAAGCAGAUGGGUCACACGAGUGACUGUGUGUGCAUGUCGUAGAACUCUCAGUAUCUAUCUGAAUAAGUUCUCUCUUCGGAUGCUGCUGUUCCUGUUAGGGAGGAGGCUGCCGCUGACUUCAGCUGACGAUGGGGCAGAUCUUCAAUCCACUGUGCUAAGAGGGAAGGAGACGGCUGGGCCUUACUCCACGAGGAAAAGAGAGCCAGGAAGGGCUGUUUACCAUGUCUGACCUCAGUCAACAUCAAAGGGACGUCCAGUAAAUGCCCGGAAGAGGAUGUAUGGACGGUAGAGAGAACAAGAGAAUGUGGGCAGAGUAUAAAGCUGUCAAGCUUGCCCCUUAAUUAGGUGUGAGGUCAACUAAAGCUGGCUUGAGGAAGUCUCUGCUAAGUACAGCUAACACAGGAGCCCAUAGAGGUCAGAGGAACAGGAGUUACACGUGGCUGUGAACCCCAUGUGGGUGCUGAGACCUGAACCCAAGUCCUCCAAAGACUGAACUCAUCAGAGAAACAUUCUAAGCUCCUGUUUCAGGAGAUGUGAAGCUGUGGAUGAGAUUUCUCUAUGGGUUGCCUUCACUUCAAGGGAAUGCUGUAACUGGUGUUUUGCAAAAUACUGCCUUUCACCCAAGCCUUGAGCAGGCCAGCUGGGAGGAGACGACUUCCGGGAUAAGCACGGAAACCCCAUGUUGCCCGUGGGCGGUGCCUCCAUUGCUUCCUCCCCAGCCCGCUGUUCUGCCAGCUUGUUCGAGGGUCCUGUACUGUUCUGUGAGCAAGAAAGGAGUUCUGCUGGCCUAAGACAAAUCUUCCUCACUACAAACUUGCACAUACAGCCUCUUCAUUUUCUUCUGCAUAAAAAUGUGUGGACGAAGCAGAGGGAGUCCAGGUCCAGCGAGCCCUUCCUCCUCAGCUCCCAGCCAGGCUUCGAACCCAGCUUGCCUUGUGAUUGAGUGUGCUCAGGCUGUUAACAGAGUUCUGCCCAGUGGAGUGUGGCAAGAAGAGAAAGGCAGUGUUCUGGGCCUUGCCUGAGUGGUGGACAGGGAGGAUGAAGUCAUCUGCUGAAGAUGCCGGGACCCUGCUGCGGAAAUCACAGCAGCACACACUUGUGUCGCACACUCAGUGGUGGAGGUGAGCGGCGGCCAUGGUUGUUUUCAGCACACCUUGUUUGAUCACCAGUUUGGAAAGUGACACAGAGACAGAAGCUCAGAUUGAGGAAGAUGGAUGAAAGCCAUUUUAACCAUCACAACAGCUUUCAGCUACGGAAAAGUCUCCGUGAGUGUUAUUAGCCAGUACUCACCAACCACGCCGUCACGAUGCAGCUAAUGAGGCUGAGCACUAAUGGCCCGGGAACAAUGAGGCAAAUUACUAAGUUCUGCUAAAAUGUUUCUCCACUUAUCUUCAAUUAUUCAGAUCCAAUCUAAUUUCCUUCAAAAUUAAAUGCUGGGGCUCCAGUUAACUCGUGUGACUGAACAUUUAACAACAGAUGCCUUCUGUACCUGCACGUGACGACUUUGCUGAGAAAGAACAGGGCAGGCUUACUCCCCAUUGUCUCUGAAAUACAGCCAUUUCCUAGACAUGUUAAGAUGGCGUGCUACAGGAGGCGCGUAGCUGGGGCUUUGUCCCUGAGUGCUAGGACCUAGGGAGCCUCCAAACUGCCUUCUCCCCGACUCUGCUGCCCUCCACCCACCUCACCGCUUCUUCAGCAGCUGUCCCAAGCUCCUGGGCACUUUUGGCUAAACCACUGGGCCUCUGGACACAGACAAAGCAAAGACCUGAGGUGGAAGUCUGAGAUGAGAGAGCACUUAUGGGUAACAAUACACAUUCAGUUUUCACUGACAGAUGCCACAGAGUUUUCACAGAGCUGGAUGCCAGGGUGGGCUUCUGGGGUCUGGAUCCAUUGGUGUGUGGUCUCAGCUAUGGCUCCACAUUCAGGAGCCAGGCACAGCUAGUUGUCAGAAGAAGAAUGCUGAAUAGCUUGGUGCUCUUCCCACCUGAGCUUCUGUGGACUUACGGGCACCGCUGAUCUGUGUGCCGUCCAUCUUUCCUCUCUUUCUUUAUCUCCUGUUGCUCCUUUGCUAUAAUCUGGUCUUUCCUGGUCUCUUCAUUUUCCUUUGUAACAUUUCCUUUCCCUCUGAGGCUCCAGCUGUAUUAUCAUCUUGCUUAGGAAAAAUUGCAUUUAAUAAAACCAGAACUAUCCCAUUUAAUAGUGUUCCAGUGGGAACAACCUGCCUUAAUGAAGUUAAGAGUGUUUCAGGUGGCAUGACUUUUCUUCAGAGGGCAUGACGUGAUUUCUUCGAAGGGACAGUAUGCUCAUUUUAGUCCUCUAAGGCCUUCAGGCCCUCCAUGCAGUCGAUUCUCCACGUUCUAUGGAAGAGGCACACAGUGAAUGAAGAAUUGCAAUCAUUUGGCAUUAGAUUUGCACUGUGAUUUAUUUUAUUAAUUAGCCUGAGUUUUUACUUGUAGUACUUAGUUUUCCCUAGAGUCCACAACAAGCUCUUCUAAGUCCAUCUAGAACCAGGUGGACUUAAGAUGAAGUGAAAGGGAAAUAAAAACCCUUCCCAAGUAGACAAUUCCACAUGCAGCCUGUCGGUCUGCAAAUCUAUCUUCCUGUAGCCCAAAGAGAAUUAUGAGGGUCUAGGCGUGGGGGUGCAAGCUUGUAACCCCGUACUCAGGGGCCAGAGCACAAGAUUGCCUUGCGUUCAGACUCAGCCAUGUCAGCCUACUGAGCUCUAGCCAGGGCUGCACAGCAAGAUCUCAUCUCAGAACAAAACCAGUGGAAACCACAGCAAGAACUGGGGAGAAUGUCAGCUCUGGCUCCCCGCUUGGCACACUGUGCCUUUUGAUGACCAAAUGCCCUUUGUCCAGUGUGGAACUUUGUCGACACAGUCACUGGUGUGGAUGACUCUCCAUGUGCCAAGAACAAUACUUAAGACUCUACAGGAUUUAUCUCAUUUAAACCCCAUGUUAUUUGCUGUCUGCAUUUUCAGAUGAGGUUCAGAGAGGUUAAUUAUCCCACCCAAAGUCACACAGUCACACAGCCUCUCUUGACCUCAGCUUUCAAGAUCUGCUGCCUGUUUCCUCCUCCUCCUCCUCCUCCUCCUCCUCCUCCUCCAUCCUUUUGGUUUUCUGAGACAGGGUCUUACCAUGUAGCCCAGGCUAGUCUGGAACUCACUAUGUAGACCAGGCUGGCCUCAAACUCUCAGAGAUCUGCCUACCUCUGCCUCCCAGGUGCUGGGACUAAAAGUGUGCACCACCAUGCCCAACUGCUUGCUGCUAGUGUUCUUAAAUUUUUCCCCAGUUGCCUCUGACUUCUUUGAUGAAGAAAAACAUCCAGCAUUUAAAAAGUGGAUCUUGGGCUCAAAGCACUGCGUUGGAUGUGGAGAAAGCAGGCGUUGUUAUGGGUGGGUUCCCCGACCUGAGAAGUAAACUGGUUUGUUUCACCAGGAUGCUUCUGAGGAACAAGUGAAAGUACAAACUGCUGGCGGGAUGGCUCAGGAGGUAAAGGUGCCCACUGCCAAGCCCAGCAGCCUGAGUCAGGUCCCGGGAACUCACGGCCGGAAGGAGAGAACCAGCCGCUUCUUGCUGUUCUCUGAUUUCCACACUUGUGCUCUGCCAUGCAUGCACAUAAAAUAAAUAAUAUAAAAAUAAAAAGGAAGCAAGGUUGGUAUUUUUCUCACCCUUGAACUUGAUGGUUUUAUCUGGCCCUGAAAUUUAUGCCAGGAAAAACUCUAACAUAAAUUUUUUGUUGAAGUAGUGUAAACAAACAAAAAAUAAAAGAGGCAAAAUGUUUAGUGUUC